rnacentral:rRNA from 1 species
GACGAACGCUGGCGGCGUGCCUAAUACAUGCAAGUCGAACGCUGAAGGAGGAGCUUGCUUCUCUGGAUGAGUUGCGAACGGGUGAGUAACGCGUAGGUAACCUGCCUGGUAGCGGGGGAUAACUAUUGGAAACGAUAGCUAAUACCGCAUAAUAGUAGAUGUUGCAUGACAUUUGCUUAAAAGGUGCAAUUGCAUCACUACCAGAUGGACCUGCGUUGUAUUAGCUAGUUGGUGAGGUAACGGCUCACCAAGGCAACGAUACAUAGCCGACCUGAGAGGGUGAUCGGCCACACUGGGACUGAGACACGGCCCAGACUCCUACGGGAGGCAGCAGUAGGGAAUCUUCGGCAAUGGACGGAAGUCUGACCGAGCAACGCCGCGUGAGUGAAGAAGGGUUUCGGAUCGUAAAGCUCUGUUGUAAGAGAAGAACGAGUGUGAGAGUGGAAAGUUCACACUGUGACGGUAUCUUACCAGAAAGAGACGGCUAACUACGUG